rnacentral:rRNA from 1 species
AGGUAAGCUACUAAGAGCGAAUGGUGGAUGCCUUGACUGGUAAAGGCGAUGAAGGACGUACUAGACUGCGAUAAGCUACGGGGAGCUGUCAAGAAGCUUUGAUCCGUAGAUUUCCGAAUGGGGCAACCCAAUGUAUAGAGAUAUACAUUACCUAUAUAGGAGCGAACGAGGGGAAUUGAAACAUCUUAGUACCCUCAGGAAAAGAAAUCAAUAGAGAUUGCGUCAGUAGCGGCGAGCGAAAGCGCAAGAGGGCAAACCCAGUGCUUGCACUGGGGGUUGUAGGACUGCAAUGUGCAAGAGGUGAGUUUAGCAGAACAUUCUGGAAAGUAUAGCCAUAGAGGGUGAUAGUCCCGUAUGCGAAAAACAAACCUUAGCUAGCAGUAUCCUGAGUAGGGCGGGACACGAGAAAUCCUGUCUGAAGCUGGGUCGACCACGAUCCAACCCUAAAUACUAAUACCAGAUCGAUAGUGCACAAGUACCGUGAGGGAAAGGUGAAAAGAACUGAGGUGAUCAGAGUGAAAUAGAACCUGAAACCAUUUGCUUACAAUCAUUCAGAGCCCUAUGUAGCAAUACAGGGUGAUGGACUGCCUUUUGCAUAAUGAGCCUGCGAGUUGUGGUGUCUGGCAAGGUUAAGCAAACGCGAAGCCGUAGCGAAAGCGAGUCUGAAUAGGGCGCUUAGUCAGAUGCUGCAGACCCGAAACGAAGUGAUCUAUCCAUGAGCAAGUUGAAGCUAGUGUAAGAACUAGUGGAGGACUGAACCCAUAGGCGUUGAAAAGCCCCGGGAUGACUUGUGGAUAGGGGUGAAAGGCCAAUCAAACUUCGUGAUAGCUGGUUCUCUCCGAAAUAUAUUUAGGUAUAGCGUUGUGUCGUAAUAUAAGGGGGUAGAGCACUGAAUGGGCUAGGGCAUACACCAAUGUACCAAACCCUAUCAAACUCCGAAUACCUUAUAUGUAAUCACAGCAGUCAGGCGGCGAGUGAUAAAAUCCGUCGUCAAGAGGGAAACAACCCAGACUACCAGCUAAGGUCCCUAAAUCUUACUUAAGUGGAAAACGAUGUGAAGUUACUUAAACAACCAGGAGGUUGGCUUAGAAGCAGCCAUCCUUUAAAGAAAGCGUAAUAGCUCACUGGUCUAGUGAUUUUGCGCGGAAAAUAUAACGGGGCUAAAGUAAGUACCGAAGCUGUAGACUUGCGCACAACUUAGAUUAUUUAAGUUUAGAAUAUGAGAAACUAAGUUAUAUGUUUAGUUAUAUUUUUACUGAUUUUUAUAGAGUAAAGAUAGAAAUAAAACUUAGUAAAAUCAGUAAAAAUAUUCUUAGACUAAAGUUAAGUAGUUUAAGUUGUGUGCAAGUGGUAGGAGAGCGUUCUAUUUGCGUCGAAGGUAUACCGGUAAGGAGUGCUGGAGCGAAUAGAAGUGAGCAUGCAGGCAUGAGUAGCGAUAAUUAAUGUGAGAAUCAUUAACGCCGUAAACCCAAGGUUUCCUACGCGAUGCUCGUCAUCGUAGGGUUAGUCGGGUCCUAAGUCGAGUCCGAAAGGGGUAGACGAUGGCAAAUUGGUUAAUAUUCCAAUACCAACAUUAGUGUGCGAUGGAAGGACGCUUAGGGCUAAGGGGGCUAGCGGAUGGAAGUGCUAGUCUAAGGUCGUAGGAGGUUAUACAGGAAAAUCCGUAUAACAAUACUCCGAGAACUGAAAGGCUUUUUGAAGUCUUCGGAUGGAUAGAAGAACCCCUGAUGCCGUCGAGCCAAGAAAAGUUUCUAAGUUUAGCUAAUGUUGCCCGUACCGUAAACCGACACAGGUGGGUGGGAUGAGUAUUCUAAGGCGCGUGGAAGAACUCUCUUUAAGGAACUCUGCAAAAUAGCACCGUAUCUUCGGUAUAAGGUGUGGUUAGCUUUGUAUUAGGAUUUACUCCGAAAGCGAAGAAACUUACAACAAAGAGUCCCUCCCGACUGUUUACCAAAAACACAGCACUCUGCUAACUCGUAAGAGGAUGUAUAGGGUGUGACGCCUGCCCGGUGCUCGAAGGUUAAUUGAUGGGGUUAGCAUUAGCGAAGCUCUUGAUCGAAGCCCGAGUAAACGGCGGCCGUAACUAUAACGGUCCUAAGGUAGCGAAAUUCCUUGUCGGUUAAAUACCGACCUGCAUGAAUGGCGUAACGAGAUGGGAGCUGUCUCAAAGAGGGAUCCAGUGAAAUUGUAGUGGAGGUGAAAAUUCCUCCUACCCGCGGCAAGACGGAAAGACCCCGUGGACCUUUACUACAGCUUGACACUGCUACUUGGAUAAGAAUGUGCAGGAUAGGUGGGAGGCUUUGAGUAUAUGACGCCAGUUGUAUAGGAGCCAUUGUUGAGAUACCACUCUUUCUUAUUUGGGUAGCUAACCAGCUUGAGUUAUCCUCAAGUGGGACAAUGUCUGGUGGGUAGUUUGACUGGGGCGGUCGCCUCCCAAAUAAUAACGGAGGCUUACAAAGGUUGGCUCAGAACGGUUGGAA